ensembl:snoRNA
AUAUAGUAAAAACAUCCAGAUAAUUUGCACAGCCAGACACUAUGUAAAGGUAAAGUCUUCCUUUUAAAUGACUGAUGAUAUACUAGUUGUUAUUGGUCUAUCAUUACUAAAAGUGAGUACAAGU